rnacentral:rRNA from 1 species
UUCUGUAAGCCUGCGAAGGUGGCCUGUGAGGGUUGCUGGAGGUAUCAGAAGUGCGAAUGCUGACAUAAGUAACGAUAAAGCGGGUGAAAAGCCCGCUCGCCGGAAGACCAAGGGUUCCUGUCCAACGUUAAUCGGGGCAGGGUGAGUCGACCCCUAAGGCGAGGCCGAAAGGCGUAGUCGAUGGGAAACGGGUUAAUAUUCCCGUACUUGGUGUUACUGCGAAGGGGGGACGGAGAAGGCUAUGUUGGCCGGGCGACGGUUGUCCCGGUUUAAGCGUGUAGGUGUGUGUUCCAGGUAAAUCCGGUUCACUUUAACACUGAGGCGUGACGACGAGGCACUACGGUGCUGAAGCAACAAAUGCCCUGCUUCCAGGAAAA